rnacentral:lncRNA from 1 species
CCAAAACGAAAAAGCACACAUUCAUUCAACCAAUAGCCAACCAAUCCAACCUGUUCCACAACAGUAUGUAUGUACGUAUGUAUGUAUUACUUCCUCCCAGACCAACAUAUAUCACCAUCCCAUCCAAAUGGUACAAACUCUCGACCGAGACCAAGACCAACAUUACCACUAAAUCGGCCGAACGACACCCACGGAAAAAGUAAAAAAAUAAACACAAAAGUGCCUAUCUGAGCAUCUUCCAAGAUUCGCCCGGUCCUUCUUGUAUUUCAGUAUUUCAGUAUCCUGUAUCCUGGUCCAUUCAACGUGCAGACACUUACUCCAUAAGAUGACAGUGGCUACGGGGUUCAUCUUGCCUCUUGAUUGGUUGUUGUCUUCAACCAUUUGACCAACACCUAACAGAAAAAUUAGUCCUACAAAGGUUAGAGAAGGUCUUAAUAUCAGUAUCCCCAAUCGAAAACGUAAACCAUCUACAGUGCAGUCCCACAAAGCAUAGAAAACCCCAGGAAAAUUGUUCUCUCAAGUCCUACAGAACUAAAAUUAUUCUCUCCACUUCACAAACUCCCAUUGCACAAAAGCACGACAACACAAAACGCACACAUGUUCUGUGGUAUAGUAGUAGAUUAGCUUAUUACAUAUGCACUCUAAUCUCCUCUGGACAAACAAUAAACUCAAACAAAAUCAAACUUAUUUCACAGUUCCAACCAUGUGGAAGAUGCUCCAACCUAUGAGAAAUCAUUCCAAUGAAGCGACUAAUAAGGAGGCCAUGACUCAAGUAUGAAGUAGAGACGAUAGGCAAAACAAAAUACUACAUGGUCAUGCAGAAGUAAAAAACCUGGCUUGGUGCAAGCUCGUGUCAUUAUUUAACUCCCAACUCAUUGGAACAAAAAACAAAGCUGUUGUCAACACAUGAUUUCAGCCUCUUUCGCAAAUUAGAUGCACUUGUGGGAGGAUAGUGAAACUCGGCAACCAUCAAUACAAACUUAUAGCGAUAGAAAAGCAGCGAUAAAAACAAUAGAAGAUUUAUGCGCUCAUGAAGAACCUUAGACUUGCUCGUCAAUGUCAUGUGGAUACAGUGCCUCCAGGUAUGUUCAUCUUGUAAACAGGAUCCCAAAGCCAUCUGCACCUCCAAAUGAUAGGCGACACAUCAUCAGAUCUGCCGUUGGUUGAAGUUUGGUGAGAAAGAACAUAGCUCAAUAUCAAAAGCUAAACAGGGUUGAUGAUAAUGAUGAUGUGCUAGAUCAUGGCUCAGUUCUAUAUAACAGGCUUUUCAGUGAUGAAUUGUCAGAAGCAGAACUAGCAUGUUUGCUGAUAGUGUUUAUCAUCACCGCCAUGUCACAAACCAGAUCACAUAUACCAAUAGAAAGAACAAGAACUGGGGACCAAGAUAAGAAUUAAGGAAUUUGAUAUUUGAAUAGCCGAGAAACAAAUUCAAAAAUGUUUCCCAUCUACUUCACGAGUCAAUAAGAAGCGAUAAGAUACCAGAUAACUUCCUAACUAGCUAUCUAGAACAUGUGUGUAUGUAUGUUGUGAGAGAGAAAACAAAAGAACCAUGUCUUUUUCAAAGUAAUCAUACUGGAUCAAUGACCUGAUCACUUCCUGACCCGAGAGAUGAAUGAAUAAUUCGCCUCCAAGCACGAGACAAUAACUAGAUACUUUGUAUGAUCCAGGUAAUUGAACAAGAAUGAUAAGCAAGGAAGGGAAUUUUAGUUUCGAGACCAACCACGUGCAACCAAUAGAAGUUAUAUACUUAAUGAUUGAACUAGCAAACAAAUAGAAUAAACAUAAGCAUGUCACAAAUAGACAUUCAUGGGGGAGAGGAUUCGGCCAAUCUCAUUGUUAUGGACCUUCUUCACUGAUUAUAUAAGUGAAAGCACACUGGAUCUCCGAGACGAGACCAACACCGGAUGACACUCGACCAAAACUGAACGGAAAAUAAACAAGGCAUGUUCCUAAGAUUUCCAAACCUCCUUCUCUUCAGUCCUCCUGCAAUGCAUAUAUACUCGGAAACCAAAGCAACUUCACAAACUAAAGGUUAUAUAGUGACUGGAUCCAAUAAGACACUAGAAAUUCUCAACAUAUGAAACCAAAUGCUGGCUCAUACUACCCACCACCACAAAAUAGUAUGCUACCUAUGACAACUACGUGCUUCGCUCCACAACUUAGCUCAAAGAGAAAAUACAAAAGGAUAGAAAACACCCAUCCAAUCUACACACUAGUUGGCGACAAUAAGUAUCAUCUUUAGAAAUUGCUGGCAUAUCUUGUCACCAAAUUACUACCACAGCCAGAUCAACAAUCAAACUCCACACUCACGCAAAAGUGUCGCAGGUGCAAGGAAAACAAAAAAAAGAUUACACGAGUGCAGAACUAGUUCGAAAAGCAAUUAUCAUAGGAAUGGAGGAAAGCUUAGAGCAACUUUUAAUUUCACCUUUUCCAAUCCAAAAAGUACAUCAUCCAUAGUGCAGUCUUACAAAGCAAAGAUCAUAAAAGACCACCAGGAAAUUUACUCUCUUCAGUUCAAAGAAUGUUUCGGACACUCACAACACAACAUUUGGGGAAAAGAGCAGAGGAUGGAACACAUAACCAAAAACUGUAAUCUGGACCAUGGCAUUGAAUGUAUGUAAUCUACAACAUAUAAAGAAAUAUAUGUACAAAUCCAAACGAUAUAAUCGACAAUCAUUUUCCUGAUUUUAAGCAUUUGGCAAUCAUGAAAACAUCCUACCAGCAUUCUAUUUGAUUUGAUAGCCAUUAACAAGUAAAAUACCUAGCAUUUUGAUCCUCUCAAAUUAGACACUAACCAUUACCAAACCCUACAAUAGGUGAGGUAAAAAAAGAUAUGUUCCUUUUAUAUCAAAUUCUACCCCUAGACGGUGACAUGCUACAAUCAUAAAUAACUAUCAAAAACCAACAAAUAGCAUGUACAGUAGUAGUGCAAGGGCCUAACCAGCAUUCCAGCACAGGGAGCAAUGUGAACAAUGAGAUCAUCACAAUCAAAUGAUUGUGGUGGCCGGAAGACCACCACCAAACAACAUGACCACACAACCAAGGCACAUCUAGCCAUGGCUCGAUGUCCGGAACCACAUCUGGCCAUGGCUUGAUGGCCGGACCAUCUUAGGGCACCACGGAAGAGGGAGGAGACUAGGGACUCACUAGAACCAAGAAAGAGACCGAGGAGGAGGUAGUCCAUCGAGCCGUACUAGCCAGACAUGUAGGUUAACAACACAGCCACCAUUGUCCAAUCAUUGUCACCGUUGUCACUGCCGUGUGCUUCUGAAACACAACACAUGCAUGAAGUCAAUAACAAUUUCAAACAUCACACAUUCUACCUGCUACAACAAGAAGCUUUGCUCCACAAAUUGGCUCAAAAAGAAAAGGAAAAAGGAGAGAAUAUCAACAUGCACAUCCAUUCUACAGAAGUUUGUGAAAGUAAUAAGCAUAAUCUUGAUAAACCGGUGCAUAGCUUGCCACCAAAGUAAUACCACAGCCAGAUCACCAUCAAGCAAACUGCACACUCACACAAAUGAGCUCCAGGUCCGAGGAAAACAAAAAGGAUUAGAGAGUGCAGGGCAAAAUUAGUUUUUUCCAAAAGCAAUGUAUCAGCGGAAUGCAGGAAAGAUUACAAGAUCUCUUAAUAAUAACUUUUCCAAUCCAAAAGGUAAACAAUCUAUAGUACAGUACUACAAAGCAAAGAUCAAAGAAGAGAAAAUUAUUCUCUCCAGUCCUACAAAGCCAAAAUUAUUCUCUCCAGUUAAAAAAANNNNNNNNNNUGAACGGAAAAUAAACAAGGCAUGUUCCUAAGAUUUCCAAACCUCCUUCUCUUCAGUCCUCCUGCAAUGCAUAUAUACUCGGAAACCAAAGCAACUUCACAAACUAAAGGUUAUAUAGUGACUGGAUCCAAUAAGACACUAGAAAUUCUCAACAUAUGAAACCAAAUGCUGGCUCAUACUACCCACCACCACAAAAUAGUAUGCUACCUAUGACAACUACGUGCUUCGCUCCACAACUUAGCUCAAAGAGAAAAUACAAAAGGAUAGAAAACACCCAUCCAAUCUACACACUAGUUGGCGACAAUAAGUAUCAUCUUUAGAAAUUGCUGGCAUAUCUUGUCACCAAAUUACUACCACAGCCAGAUCAACAAUCAAACUCCACACUCACGCAAAAGUGUCGCAGGUGCAAGGAAAACAGAAAAAAGAUUACACGAGUGCAGAACUAGUUCGAAAAGCAAUUAUCAUAGGAAUGGAGGAAAGCUUAGAGCAACUUUUAAUUUCACCUUUUCCAAUCCAAAAAGUACAUCAUCCAUAGUGCAGUCUUACAAAGCAAAGAUCAUAAAAGACCACCAGGAAAUUUACUCUCUUCAGUUCAAAGAAUGUUUCGGACACUCACAACACAACAUUUGGGGAAAAGAGCAGAGGAUGGAACACAUAACCAAAAACUGUAAUCUGGACCAUGGCAUUGAAUGUAUGUAAUCUACAACAUAUAAAGAAAUAUAUGUAAAAAUCCAAACGAUAUAAUCGACAAUCAUUUUCCUGAUUUUAAGCAUUUGGCAAUCAUGAAAACAUCCUACCAGCAUUCUAUUUGAUUUGAUAGCCAUUAACAAGUAAAAUACCUAGCAUUUUGAUCCUCUCAAAUUAGACACUAACCAUUACCAAACCCUACAAUAGGUGAGGUAAAAAAAGAUAUGUUCCUUUUAUAUCAAAUUCUACCCCUAGACGGUGACAUGCUACAAUCAUAAAUAACUAUCAAAAACCAACAAAUAGCAUGUACAGUAGUAGUGCAAGGGCCUAACCAGCAUUCCAGCACAGGGAGCAAUGUGAACAAUGAGAUCAUCACAAUCAAAUGAUUGUGGUGGCCGGAAGACCACCACCAAACAACAUGACCACACAACCAAGGCACAUCUAGCCAUGGCUCGAUGUCCGGAACCACAUCUGGCCAUGGCUUGAUGGCCGGACCAUCUUAGGGCACCACGGAAGAGGGAGGAGACUAGGGACUCACUAGAACCAAGAAAGAGACCGAGGAGGAGGUAGUCCAUCGAGCCGUACUAGCCAGACAUGUAGCUUAACAACACAUCCACCAUUGUCCAAUCAUUGUCACCGUUGUCACUGCCGUGUGCUUCUGAAACACAACACAUGCAUGAAGUCAAUAACAAUUUCAAACAUCACACAUUCUACCUGCUACAACAAGAAGCUUUGCUCCACAAAUUGGCUCAAAAAGAAAAGGAAAAAGGAGAGAAUAUCAACAUGCACAUCCAUUCUACAGAAGUUUGUGAAAGUAAUAAGCAUAAUCUUGAUAAACCGGUGCAUAGCUUGCCACCAAAGUAAUACCACAGCCAGAUCACCAUCAAGCAAACUGCACACUCACACAAAUGAGCUCCAGGUCCGAGGAAAACAAAAAGGAUUAGAGAGUGCAGGGCAAAAUUAGUUUUUUCCAAAAGCAAUGUAUCAGCGGAAUGCAGGAAAGAUUACAAGAUCUCUUAAUAAUAACUUUUCCAAUCCAAAAGGUAAACAAUCUAUAGUACAGUACUACAAAGCAAAGAUCAAAGAAGAGAAAAUUAUUCUCUCCAGUCCUACAAAGCCAAAAUUAUUCUCUCCAGUUAAAAAAAAUAACAUUGCCCAAAAGCACCUCAAUACACAAUGCACACAUGUUCUGUCAUACAGUAGCACCAGAUUAUCUAAUAACAUGUGCAUUUAAAUCUCCCCUCUACAUAAACAAUCAACAACUCAAACCAAAUUAAAUUUAUUUCCCAAUUCGCACCAUGUCAAACAAGCUCUAGCCUUUGAGAAAUCAUUCCAAUGAAGCAUAAAAAUAAGGAUGCCAUCACUCAACUAUGAAGUACAGACCAAAGUGCAAAGUAGUAACAUAUUUUGACCCUAAAUUAAGUUCUUAACUAACCAUGUCUCUCUUGGCAAAUUAGAAAACAAGUGCAUGCCUCAAACUGUAGAUAGUGCUAAAAAAUGAACUCAAUGCAUUCUAACUUGCUUCCCUAUAUUACAAUCACCACUUCUCUACCAAUUUCUUAAAUCUCUAAUAAAAAGAUAAGCAGAAUAGAAUAUUACAUGAUCAUGCAGAAGUUAAUACCCUGGCAUGGUGUAAACUCGUGUCGUUAUUCAACUCCCAACUCGUAGGAACAUGAGACAGAGCUGAUGGCAAGAACAUGAUUUUUAGUCUGCCGCAAAUCAGAGGAACUUGCGACAGGAUAGUUGAACCCAACAACCAUCACUACAAACUUGUGGCGAUUGAAAAACAGAGAUCAAAGACAAAAAAGACAACAAAAGAUUCAUGUGCUCGUGAAGAAACUCAAACUUGCCCAUCAAUGUCAUGUGGAUACAACGCCUCUAUGUAGGUUGAUCCUAUAAAUAGGAUCAUGGAUCCAUCUGCGCACCUCCAAAUGUUGUCAGGCAACGCAUAAUCUUAUCUUCACAUGGUAGAAGUUUGGCGAGAAAGAACAUUACGAAAAUCAAAAGCUAAAAAAGGUUGAUGAUAACGAUCAUGUAUUCAUGGCUCAGAUCUAUAACAUGUUUUCCAGUCUUGAAUUCUUAGAAGCAAAACUGGCAUGUUUGCUAAAAGGGUUUAUCAUCACCGUCAUGUCACAGACCAGAGCACGGACACAAAUUAAACAACAGAAUAGGAAGAACAAAAAAGAGUAGAGAAAACAAACAUGAACAUCCAUUCUACAUAAGUUCGCAACGACAGUAAGCACCAUCUUAACAAACUGGUGGCAUACCUUGCCACCAAAAUACUACAACAGCCAGAUCAACAUCACGCAAACUUCACGCUGACACGGGUGCAAUCGAAACAAAAUAGACUACACGAGUACAGAACUAGUUCCAAAAGCAAUUAUCAUAGGACUGAGGAAAGCUCACAGGAGCUCUUAGUACCACUUAUUACAAUACAAGUACACCAUCUGUAGUGCACAAAUUGUUUUUGACACUGACAACACAACAUUUGAACCAAAGAGGAGAGGAUGCAACACAUAAUAAAAAGAACUGUAAUCUGGACCAUAGUAGAAAAUAUAUGUAAUCUGCAACAUGGCAAGAAAAAUAUGUAAAAUCGAAAGGAUAUCAUCGACAUUUCAGCCACUUUCGUAAAUUAGAGGAACUUGAAGAGGAUAGUUAAAAUGGGUAACCAUCACUACAAACUUAUAGCGACUUAAAGACAGAGACAAAAACAAAGAGGAGAGCAAAAGAUUCAUAUGCUCAUGAAGAACCUCAGGCCUGCCCAAUGUCAUGUGAAUACAGCACCUCCGGGUAAGUUCAUCCUGUGAACAGGAUCCCUGAGCCAUUUGCACCUCCAAAUGUUGGGUCGUACAUUCACAUGGUUGAAGGGUGGCGAGAAAAAAGAUAACACAAAAUAAAAAAACUAAACAAGGUUGAUAAUAAUGAUUCCAUGCUAGAUCAUGGCUCGGGUCUAUAUAGCAGGUUUUUCAGUCAUGAAUUGUCAGAAGCAGAACUGGCAUGUUUGCUGAAAGUGUUUACCAUCACCAUCAUGUUAGAAACUAGAGCACAUGCACCAACUGAACAACAAAAUAAGAAGAACAAAACAGGGGACCAAGAUAAGGAUUGAGGAAUUCGAUAUUUGCAAUGGCUCCCUUGUAUCUCAUUAGUUUAUCAGAAGCGUGUGUAAGAUUCUAAUCACUGUCGUCAAUCAAACAAGAUCCAAAACAAAGAGCGGGGAUAGGAAACAAGUUAUGUAUGUAUCCAUUACUCUGACACAUGUCACACAUCCACGCGUAGUGUCGCGAACUGCAACACUGAACGGCAGUGUAGAUCUACACAACAUUGGGGGUUUCCUUCAUCACAAGGUACCGAGAUCCGUCCGACAAGCCCGGGGUUAGCAUUGUGCAGAAAUGAAACAUAACAGAGAUUUACUAAUCAGCAAAAGAAGAAAAAGACGACCCUUUCAUAUCGAGAGCAAGUGCUGUAAAUAGCAUGCCAAGAUCCUAAAUACUCCCUCUAUUCCUAAAUAUUUGUCUUUUUAGUGAUUUCAAAUGGACUACCACAUACGAAUGUAUAUAGACAUAUUUUAGAGUGUAGAUUCACUCAUUUUGCUCUAUAUGUAGUAUCUUGUUGAAAUCUCUAGAGAGACAAAUAUUUAGGAAUAGAGGGAGACCAUCACAGCUAGCAUGACCACAUGCCAAACCAAAGAUCAUUUGCUCGAUGUCUGGAAAACAAUCUCAGGGCAGAGGGAGAAAUGGAAGACCAGGAACUCACCAGAACAAAGGACAAGGCGACCACCACCACCACGGUUGUAGCCACACCAUGUGCCAACGCAAGAAGUGCAUGGUGGUGACAGUUCGGUCACCACCCAGCAUGCCACAUCAAGGUGUGAGGGCCACAAUUUGUUGGCACAAGCUGGGGCAGGCAGGGAUUACAACAUUGACUCUAAAUAGAGCCACUUACUGAAAACAAUAAGCAAAGCAUAUGUUGAAUUAACUAAAAGAAUCGCCAAAAAUGUGUAAGCACAUAUGCAUGCUAGGUUUGCAUCAAUCACUGUACCUAGUUUGCUAAAAUGUGGUUAGUAGAAAGUUAUAGGAACAAGUCAUGCAUAGUAUCCAUGUAAACAGAUAAUCAUGCACAAUAGUUUUUGCAUGUUGAUGCAAAUCACUGCACCGGGUAGCUAGCUUACUGCUCUUUGGCAAGUUAUAGUCAGAUGAUAGACUUAGUGAAAAUCUAUUAUUCCUGUUGGUUACAUGCCAAUGGAAGGAGUAGAUAAAGUACAAGUUUAUCUUUAAAGUGCCAAUCAUACUAAAACGCUUUCUGAUAUCAUUGUUGGCAGCUUACAGUUAGAUGGUUUGACUAUGUGUGUACUUCUAGAAAUGUAGAUCAUCAAACAACUUAGCUUCGCAAGAAAAAGUUAUGUAUAAAUGAUAAAAGGGCAUGGUUCAAUUGAUGAUGAGCAAGCAACACAAAGGGAGAUUACUACAUAGUUUAUAUAUAACAAAAUAAAAGACAAUAUUCUAUUUGAUACAACAACUAUCAUAAAAAAAAGAUUAUGACCAGAUGACCACCCAACUAGCCAAACCCCACCCUAAAAUUAUCACGGCUCAAAUGGUAGGAUCCCACUAGGGCCUAAGCAUGAUAAUCAAUAUAUUAGAUAUGGCCCAUUACCAAACAUUAGAGCAAGUGUGGUAAAAAUAUUUGUUCCUUUUUUAUCAAAUUCUACACCCUGGACAGUAGCAAGAUCCUAAUUAAGUACCAAACCCCAACAAAUAGAUUAUAUUCUAGCACCCAACACUGAGACCAAUUUCAACAACCUAUCAUCACUAAACAAACCCUAAAUCAUUGGCUCGAUGGCCGGCAACACAAUCAGCCACGGGUCAAUGGCCGGACCAUCUCAAGGCACGGGGAGACAAGGAACUCACCAGAACCAAGACAAGGCGGCCACCACCGCAACUACAGGGGGAGACGUGGUAGUGGUCAAGGAGGCGGUAGUCUGCCAAGCCGUAGUUGCCUGACAUGGAGGUUAGGACACUGCCAUUGCCAUCCCUCAAGUGACGUUCGGUCAUCACCACACCAAGC